rnacentral:piRNA from 1 species
UUUUCGGUGAGCUUAUAUGAA